rnacentral:rRNA from 1 species
GUAGGGAAUAUUGGACAAUGGGCGCAAGCCUGAUCCAGCCAUGCCGCGUGAGUGAUGAAGGCCCUAGGGUUGUAAAGCUCUUUCACCGGUGAAGAUAAUGACGGUAACCGGAGAAGAAGCCCCGGCUAACUUCGUGCCAGCAGCCGCGGUAAUACGAAGGGGGCUAGCGUUGUUCGGAAUUACUGGGCGUAAAGCGCACGUAGGCGGACAUUUAAGUCAGGGGUGAAAUCCCGGGGCUCCACCCCGGAACUGCCUUUGAUACUGGGUGUCUGGAGUAUGGAAGAGGUAAGUGGAAUUCCGAGUGUAGAGGUGAAAUUCGUAGAUAUUCGGAGGAACACCAGUGGCGAAGGCGGCUUACUGGUCCAUUACUGACGCUGAGGUGCGAAAGCGUGGGGAGCAAACAGGAUUAGAAACCCCUGUAGUCC